rnacentral:snRNA from 1 species
UUGCUUCAGCAGCACGCAUAUUAAAAUUGGAACAAUACAGAGAAAAUUAGUAUUGCCCCUGCACAAAGAUGACAAGAAAAUUCAUGAAACGAUCCACAAUUUA